GCGCGUAGUUCGUUCUUCCGCUACUCGCCAUCUUGUGCAGGUUGCGUGUAGAUUUGUGUUCCUCGAUUUGAAACAGAUUUUCCCGAUCCGAGCGUUGCUCCUGUCCAAAUUAAGGAUUUCAAGCGAUCGAAGAAGAUGAGUUACGGUAGACCACCGCCUCGAAUUGAUGGGAUGGUGUCCUUAAAAGUGGACAAUCUCACGUACAGAACGACGCCGGAGGAUCUGAGACGCGUGUUCGAAAGAUGUGGCGAGGUCGGCGACAUUUACAUACCGAGGGACCGAUUUACUCGAGAAAGUCGUGGAUUCGCGUUUGUCAGAUUUUAUGACAAGCGUGAUGCAGAAGAUGCGUUGGAUGCUAUGGAUGGAAGGCUGUUAGAUGGUAGGGAACUUCGAGUUCAAAUGGCACGGUAUGGACGACCAACAUCACCACACCGAAGUCGUGGCAGCCGUAGGCGAGGAAGAUCACGUAGCAGAAGCAGGGAUCGAAGACGCUCACGUUCCAGAUCACGUAGUAGAUCAAGGAGUCGCGAUAGAGAUCGUAGGCGUUCGUAUAGCCGUAGUCGUAGUCGCUCGCGUUCUGAUAGUAAGAGCUCGCGCGGAAAGUCCCGUUCUCGCAGCAAAUCUCCAGAUAGGCAAAAAGACAGUCGCUCCAAAUCAAGGGACUGAAGUAAUUGAACCAUAUACAAGUACAACUGUGAACAGAUGCACGUGCCGCGAGUGCAGAAUAAUCGUUUCUUGAGAACAAAAAGGCGGUGGAAAGGAGUGGCGUGGCGAGUGUAGCUGAUGAUGGGGUAGCUGAGAGUAAGCAGUAAGCCGAGUAGCAGGGCUGUAAGCAGUUUGCAGUAGCGAGCGGUUGGUGGUCUGGUGAAAGCAGGUUCGCGCGAGUCGAUCAGGGCGAGAAAAAGAGAGAAAGUGUGUGAGCGAAAGCUGUUUCUCUCUCUGUGGGGGGUCGGCAUGCAGAAAUUGCAGAGGGUACGGUCUCGAGAAUGCAGAGAAAUAUGCAGAGAGCUCAACGAAAAGCUACACGCGGUUGCUGAUCUCGACCAUCGUCCGGUUUGCAGGUAGCACGUGAGCAUCACCAGACCUCGCGAGCAACGACUCGACAUUUCAACUGUUAUAUCUACCAAUUGCUUCGCGUAUUUCUUGAAACAAAUAAUUUCUCCAGUAAUGGUCCAUUCAAAAUCAGCUAUGUAUUAUCUUAUUUUCAGCUAUAGGUCUCAUUCAUAAGUUGAAUGUUUAAAUAUCGAUUUUCUAAGUACGAAUAUCCUUUUCCAAAAUUACGUAACGUCAGCUAUAUAUUUCAUUUCAUUUCAAUGGUUCGUUUUAUACAUUUUUUAAAUUCAUUUCUUCCAACAUGAUCUAAUCUAAUUUUAAAAACAAAUCUUUUAACUUUGAUUUCUAUUUUUCUAAAAAUAGUUAUUAAAAUUCAGAACAUAAUACUCGUUAACGUCGUUUUCUAUAAAGUCUGCAAUGAUUCCAGUUCUUAUCAUGGAUCUUAUCACUAUUCGUAUAGUGAUCAUCGCUUGAAACACUUGCCGCCACAUUUUAAAUAAUUGGGAACAUUUUAAGGGUGGGCAAAUGGGAUCCUUUCGUUUUUCCUGUACUCUUUUUUUUUUCAGGUAUCAGCAAACAUCAAUAAAGUAGUAAGUAUUAUUUAGAGGUAAGGCAAUGUUACAGUAAAUAAAGGAUUUCUUUUUAAGGGGAAGAAUGAAAAUUUUUGUAGAGAUAUAUGAAGAGUUCGAUCAAUAAAGAAUUCUUAUUGAA